AUCUUCAUUCAUAACAGGCUUCCAAUGACUGCACCCAAGAGGCGCGCUUGGGCGUACCGGUUCCACGAUGAGGUUAAGGUGGUACCCCAUAAAUUGGGGUCCACGCAAUGUAUUCUCACCAUCCAAUCCGUCUAUCAGAUGUGUUAUCUUUGAAAUCCCUUAAUACCAAAAAAUUAGUCCGAUCCAAAUUAAGUGUGGGCCACAAAAAAGGAAUCAGUUAUGAGAGAACUGUCACUUUAAAAAACGUAAAUCUCUUGAGAUGACUCUUCAUCUGGACUGGAUGAAGGUGAUGCAUCUUAUUAUGUAAUUUCGGUGGUCCCAAUAUCAGGCAGGUCUUUUGUGAGGCCCAUGAUGUAUUGGUUUUA